GGAGAAGCAACUGUUGGAGUCAGCUGCCUGAGGAAUAUACUUCUCUAGGCUGGGGUGGGGAAAUGAGCUUGAAGACAAGGAACUGGCUGAGUCUUAAUUUGGGCGAGUGAAAGAAGGUGACUGAGCCAGGAGGAGAGCACAGAUGGCUUGGUGGUGGUAUGGUGUGCUCCAUCGGCUGCCAACCUAGGGCCAUCGUCUGCCUCCAUCACCCCUCCGCCCGCCCGCCUACCCACCCAAUCCCAAACGGGUGCUGGAUCAGGUGCUGAAUCCGGCUGCCUCCUCGGGUCCUCCUUCCCCUUCCCUCUUAGGCAUGGGGAGUGGAGCAACAGACGGAGAGUGGCAUGAAGACACAAAGGAGGAAGCACACCAUUGCCAAGACCCCAAGGAAGAAGGAUGGAAAGCGCUGGCAGUCCUGCCUGGCCCCCAGCCAGUUCCCUGCUGAAGAUGGCCAGAUCCCCUUGUCUGGUGUGCCUGCACAGGAGACAGCACCAGCCAAGCUGAUUGUGUAUCUACAGCGUUUCCGGCCUCAAGACUAUCAGCGCCUGCUAGAAGUGAACAGCUCCAGAGAGAGGCCACAGGAGACUGAAGAUCCUGACCACUGCCUGGGCUAGGGGUGUCACUUCCUAGAAGGGGAAGGGAACUCUGGGUCUAACGGAGUCCACUCCUGGGCCCACUGUGCCUCUCCCCUCAGUGUCCCUUCUGACAGUGACUCCUCUCUCUCCAGCGCUGCCUGUUUCUUCCCCCUCCUCUAAGCUACUCUUCCUUGAGCCCUCCCUGGCUGCUUCCUCUCGCUCAUCCGUCAGAUGCAAUCUGUGGGCCGCCCCUCUCCCCUGGCCGCUAAGCAGCCUCCAUUGAUUUCCGCUCGUGUUUAUAGGAUUUCCACUUAGCCGUGAUCAGUAGUUAAGCACAGGAAAAUCCCUUGCCACCCCCC
ensembl:lncRNA ZFHX2-AS1 ZFHX2 antisense RNA 1